UUCCCGGGCGGCGCGGUGGCGGCGGAGCCGCGCUGCGGGGUCAGGAGCAGGGCGGGCAGGGAGACGAGGGAGGCCGGCGGCCGGACGCUACCUGGGGGCGAGCACGUGAGGUUCUGGCCCUCGGAGUUGACCGCCUGCAGGAAACCCAAGAUUCAAAGACAAAUGAAACAGGACCUUGGAAAUCGAUCAAAGUGACCAAGAAAGCAUCAUAUUUUCCUCUGUAUCCUGAGCACCAAGAUGGCACCUCCACGCAAGUGAUGGAUUAGGACCAAAUUCAAGAUACUGAGUACUCAGGUUGUGCCAGGCAGUGGGGAUGCACAGGUGAACGUGACACAGUCCCUGGGUGUAGAAGCUCACACAGCUCAGCAUGUUGAGUGUCACACUGGAGGCGCCGGGGACUCGAACCCGGGAAGGGUUGCAAUUCCUGAUGCUGGAGUCAUGACUGGGACUGAAGCAUAUGCAGGAGUUAAAAUAGGGUACUGCUCUUAUCCAGAAAAAAGCAGCAUUACUCUAAAGAGGACAGGAGAUUCGCUUUUGUUUUUAGUGUCAAGAAUCUCUUUGUAGGCAUACUGCUCAUCAGAAUUCUAGCCAUGCUUCUUGUGAAAUUGGGGGGAGUCCUAGUACUAAGGCCACGAUAAAUUGAAAAAUGCCUCUGCCCUUCUCCUAUAUAUAGAUACUUCCCCAAAGUCUGCCUUUUAUUCAUUUCCAAACCACAUAAGUUACACAGAGAAAGACAUAGAAAAACACAUGCAUAGAAUUUUGAUCUACUUCUUUUAAUGGAAAACUUAAAGCUUCUCAAUCUAAGCAUGUGAUCAUGGUGGUACAUUUAAAUUCAAGCUUUGGUGGAGAGAGCGUCAAACUGGGCCAAUCUCCUCAAGUGAACCUGACCCAGCCAAGGGCCUCUCACGUCUCUUUGGAUGUAAAUGAUGAUCACACUCAGAAAGUCCAGACCACACCAGCUUACAAAAUGGCCUGUGGCUGCCUCUUGCCUCUUCCCCUGUCCAGCUCAUUAGGGCUGUGCCGGAAUGACACAUGGCAAAAUAUCAAAGAUCUGCCCAUGGCGUGACGGAAACACCGUGGACACUCCUUCCAGGCAGAGCCUUAUAUUUGAGCCUUCCAGUUCCAAAGCCAACUGGAAAUCAAUCACAACUGGGGAAUUUGAACUCUGGAGGAGAAAUCUAAGCUUCUAAAGUAAAGUCCAAAGCUGAACCAAGGAGAAUCCAACUUAAACAGGCAGCCAACCUGGGAUUACUGGAUUUCUUAGUGUAACCUAUAGUUCUCCAGUCACUUACCACAGUUGUUCCCCUCGUAGACCCGGGAGGUCCUACAUGGCCAUCACAUCUGUGGAAAGAAUUUAAAAUAAUUUCUUUGAAGAGACCCACUUUCACCAGGAGGAGGUCAACAAAAUAUUUACCAUUAUAUGUUGAAAUCUCAAGAUUUUUUUUUGUGCUCUGUAGACAGACAUUUCUUGGUUAAUGUAUUAUUGAACAAAAUUUCAGAAACCUUUUCCUUUGAGUGUUUAGUCAAUGUUUUAUAACUUUGCCACUCAGGUGGGAAUUAUAUGAGUUGAUUUGUAUUUGAGCAUUGCAUAAAAACCUAAU